rnacentral:misc_RNA from 1 species
GAUGAAGAACGCAGCGAAAUGCGAUACGUAAUGUGAAUUGCAGAAUUCAGUGAAUCAUCGAGUCUUUGAACGCACAUUGCGCCCCUUGGUAUUCCGAGGGGCAUGCCUGUUCGAGCGUCAUUAUAACCCUCAAGCUCAGCUUGGUGUUGGGGCCUGCUGCACUGGCAGCCCUUAAAAUCAGUGGCGGCGCCAUCUGGCUCUAAGCGUAGUAAUUCUUCUCGCUAUGGAGUCCUGGUGGACGCUUGCCAUCAACCCCCAAUUUUUCUAUGGUUGACCUCGGAUCAGGUAGGGAUACCCGCUGAACUUAAGCAUAUCAAUAAGCGGAGGA